UAGCGGCGAGCGAACAGGGAGGAGCCCAGCACGAAAUCCCGCGUUUGAAAUAUAGCGCAGGGAACUGUCGUGUGAGGGACGCUCCGCAACCCGGUGUUCGGCGGCGAGUUCAAGUCUCCCUUGAACGGGGCCACAGCCCGCAGAGGGUGCCAGGCCCGUAGAGACCGCUGCCGUUCUCGGGGGGAGCCGUCCUCAGAGUCGUGUUCCUUGAGAGUGGAGCACUAAGUGGGUGGUAAACUCCAUCUAAGGCUAAAUAUGACCACGAGACCGAUAGCGAACAAGUACCGUGAGGGAAAGUUGAAAAGAACUUUGAAGAGAGAGUUCAAUAGUACGUGAAACCGUUCAGGGGUAAACGGGAGGGAUCCGGAAGGACGAAUGAGGAGACUCAAUCCCGUCCGUUGGUUGACACCCGUCCGCGAUUCCGGAUGUCGUCUGUCGGCGGCCACGGCGCAAGUCGUGUGUCGUGUUAGGCCGGCGAUACCGGCCGGGCGGUGCUGUUUGGCUGCGGCGGGGUGCAUUUCUUCUCAGGACGACGUCGCGACCCGUUGGAUAGGGGUCUAAGGCCCAGGAUGGAGACCGAGGGGGUCGCCGAGGAUUCUCGGGUUCACGGUCCCCCGGACCCUGGUCGCCCGGCCCCAGUCCGACGGUAGGAACCGAGGAGUUUGCCCGCUCUGAGCGAGCGUCCGACCCGAUGGGCAAGCUCCGCGGGUUUGUGCGUGGUGCCGCGGCUAAAGCCGCGUCCCCGCCGCCCGCGGGCUGUUAGCCUACGGAGUUCUCGGACAGCUAUGGCAUUCUCCCGUCUGCGGCGCUCUUACUUCGGAUGCCUUCCCGACCCGUCUUGAAACACGGACCAAGGAGUCUAACAUGUGUGCGAGUCACUGGGAACCACUAAACCCAGAGGCGCAAUGAAAGUGGGGCGGCCUAGUGUCGCCUGGGGAGGAUGGCGCUCCUUGCGGGCGUCCGCACUCCCGGGGCGCCCCGGCUUCGGCCGUGGGCGCACUCAGAGCAUACACGUUGGGACCCGAAAGAUGGUGAACUAUGCCUGGUCAGGACGAAGUCAGGGGAAACCCUGAUGGAGGUCCGCAGCGAUUCUGACGUGCAAAUCGAUCGUCAGAGCUGGG
rnacentral:rRNA from 1 species